rnacentral:rRNA from 1 species
CCUACGGGUGGCAGCAGUGAGGAAUAUUGGUCAAUGGACGAGAGUCUGAACCAGCCAAGUAGCGUGAAGGAUGACUGCCCUAUGGGUUGUAAACUUCUUUUAUAUGGGAAUAAAAUGUUCCACGUGUGGGAUUUUGUAUGUACCAUAUGAAUAAGGAUCGGCUAACUCCGUGCCAGCAGCCGCGGUAAUACGGAGGAUCCGAGCGUUAUCCGGAUUUAUUGGGUUUAAAGGGAGCGUAGGUGGAUUGUUAAGUCAGUUGUGAAAGUUUGCGGCUCAACCGUAAAAUUGCAGUUGAAACUGGCAGUCUUGAGUACAGUAGAGGUGGGCGGAAUUCGUGGUGUAGCGGUGAAAUGCUUAGAUAUCACGAAGAACUCCGAUUGCGAAGGCAGUUCACUGGACUGCAACUGACACUGAGGCUCGAAAGUGUGGGUAUCAAACAGGAUUAGAAACCCGUGUAGUC